ensembl:snoRNA SNORA73 Small nucleolar RNA SNORA73 family
CCAACGUGGGUACCCCUGGGAGGUCAGUCUCCCCAGGGCUCUGCCCAGGUGGCCUAGGGGAACAUAGGGCUCUGCCCCGGAUGUACUGCCCUUUCCACAGCGUUGGAGAGAAAGCCGGCCUUGAGUCUGCGCCUGCUUAUUCCUUCAGCUUUUCAGAGUCAUGUGGACAAUGGCUGAGGAGACACAUCCAUGCAGGAAAUAUCU